rnacentral:rRNA from 1 species
GAUCUGGCUCAGGAUGAACGCUAGCGGCAGGCUUAACACAUGCAAGUCGAGGGGCAGCAUAAUGGAUAGCAAUAUCUAUGGUGGCGACCGGCGCACGGGUGCGUAACGCGUAUGCAACCUACCUUUAACAGGGGGAUAACACUGAGAAAUUGGUACUAAUACCCCAUAAUAUCAUAGAAGGCAUCUUUUAUGGUUGAAAAUUCCGAUGGUUAGAGAUGGGGCAUGCGUUGUAUUAG